AUACUUACCUGGCGCGGGGAUACCGUGAUCAAGAAGGCGGUGCCUCCAGGACGAGGCCUGUACAUUGCACUCCGUAUGGGCUGACUCCUGCGACUACCCAAAUCGGGGUGGCUCGAGCGCAUAAUUUUUGGUAGUGGGGACAAGCGUUCGCGCUGUCCCUUU
rnacentral:snRNA from 14 species